UCCCGUCUCCCGCCUCCCCUCCUCCCCACUUCCCUCCUCCCGCUUCCCGUCUCCCCCUCCCCUUCCUGCUCCGGUUGGAGCUGAGCACCGGAGGCUGGCGGGGAGGGGCCGCCGCCCGGAGGUGACCGGCUGCCACGCUCUCGCGUUUCCUCCCCGCCUUAAAUAAGAAUAAUUGUCUAAGUCAGCGGGGCUGGGAUUAAAAAAACACUCGUCGCUGGCAGUCUGGCACCCCCAACCGGGACCACGGAAAUCUUCCUCCAGAGGACUGGGGACGCUGGAGUUGGGGGGAAGGUGGAAGCUGGGCCAGGAGGGGGCUGCCGUCCCAGGAGGGCCCCGGCUGGAGCCAGAGGCCACACUGCUUCCAGGGGACCUUGCUGAACCUCAGUUUUCUGCUCUGUGGGAUGGGGCCAAAGACUAACUUCCUGUUCUCUAGGGCCACACCAGCUCUCAAAUCUGUUUGUGAGUCUAGAAGUUUUCAAGGCCCCUCUGAUCAAUGCCCACAGCUGAUCAGGCAAAAAGGAGGAACAGGGGAAUGAGUCUUCAAGGUAUGAUGUGAGUUCCUAAAGUCAGGCAAGGAGUGGGGAAAAGCCCGCCCAGCACCCAGGCACAGUGGGCCACACCACUCUCGGUCUGUGGCCUUGAGCACAGGCUCCGUUUCCUCACCUGCAAACUGAGCCGUGAUGCCUCCCUCCCCUUGACAGAGGACAAGGGCCCUCCCCCUGCGAACUGCUGCACACCUCAGCGUCAGCGGCUAAGUGGCAGUUGUCCUGUGCCCAGCCAUCCCCCUCCCCGCCCAGCCUCCAGGUCACCUGCACUAAACAGCAACAGGAAAGAGGGCCGGAACCUCUUCUCUCCCAGCAAGGAGCAGUCAGCACCAGAGAAACCAAGGGCGCAGUGACUACUGCCCCAUUUUACAGAUGAGAACGCUGAAGCUCAGAGCGGGGACUUGCCUCAGAUCAAGAGGCUGGACAGCGGCUGACGGGUGCUCUCGCUUUGGCGACACAGAAGGGUGUCCUCGCCCAGCUCCCUGUGCUGCCCACAGGGACAUCUUACGUCAGAAACAACAGUGAUGUUACCCCAAAAGAGAAAAAAAAUUUUUAAAGUCAACAAGACUAAACUCUGUAAAUACCAAGACAUUCUUCCAAAAAGAUGCAGCAGAUAUGAAAACAACGAAGGGAAAACGUCAGAGGCUCAUUGUUCCGCAACCCGAGGAACCAAAGAACCAGACCCAGACCCGUCACCCUUGCCGCGGGGUGAUGAGACCAGUGCUGGCCAGUGGAUUGUGGGAAGAAGUGAUGUGUUGUUCUUUUCCCUGUCUCAGUGACCCAGAGACGGAGGUGACACAGGAGGCAGCGUGGACCCCGAGCUUUCACACGGAGGACAGUUGCCCUGGAGAAUCACCUGGACUCACAGCAGACUUUUGUUGUGUUGAGACAGUUCAAUGUGGGGCUUAUUUGUUACUGCAGAACAACCUAGCCUUGCUAACUGAUACACAUUUGGAAAACCACGUUCUUGUUCAAGGGGUACCAGAGAGCUUGGACAGGUCCCUUGACUCCACCAGGCCUCAGUUUCCCCAUGUGUGUGGUGAGGCGAGGGGGCUUUUCUCCUCUUACUAGGGCCUGUGCUGCUAAGGUACCCAAACCCUAAAGGCCUGAGGAGUAUCUGCCAAUACUAAGGGCUGCUGAUGUGGAGUGCUUGCUGGACACUGGCCGCUGGCUGGGCCACCUUGGGGAUAUCACGGAAUCCUCACAGUGGCCCCAGGAGGGAGGCACUAUCAUUAUCCCCAUUUCCCCAGCAGGAAACUGAGGCUCAAGAAGGUAAGGUCACUGGCCCGGAAGCCCCAGCGUGUGUGAUUCUUAACUGCUCUAACGACAACUGCCACCUGGUAUUUUACUUUCUCUCUUAUAAACACAACUUAAAAGAAAGCCCACUGUUGACAACUUGGGAGAGCUUAGAAUAAGGAUUUUUUUUUAAAUUCACGACCUUAACCAUUUUUUUUUUUAACAUCUUUAUUGGGGUAUAAUUGCUUUACAAUGGUGUGUUCGUU